UCAAACUCAUAGGUGUGGGAUUAGAACUU
rnacentral:piRNA from 1 species